GGUGGCUCAAUGGUAGAGUGCUUGCCUUGCAUGCAUGAGGCCCUGGGUUUGAUUCUCCAGCACCA
rnacentral:tRNA from 1 species